rnacentral:rRNA from 1 species
UACAGAGGGGGCAAGCGUUGUUCGGAAUUACUGGGCGUAAAGGGCGCGUAGGCGGCCUUCUAAGUCGAACGUGAAAUCCCUGGGCUCAACCCAGGAACUGCGUCCGAUACUGGGAGGCUUGAAUCCGGGAGAGGGAUGUGGAAUUCCAGGUGUAGCGGUGAAAUGCGUAGAUAUCAGGAGGAACACCGAUAGCGAAGGCAGCUCGCUGGGACGGUACUGACGCUGAGGCGCGAAAGCGUGGGGAGCGAACAGG